AUGGUCCUGGGGGUGGGAGUGGAGGCAUCACAAGGAGGGUUUUUGUGUGAGACUGUGUCACAGUGUUAUUUCUUCGGCGGAGGGACCCAGCUGACCGUCCUUGGUCAGCCCAAGGCCUCGCCAUCGGUCACUCUGUUCCCGCCCUCCUCUGAGGAGCUCCAAGCCAACAAGGCCACACUGGUGUGUCUCAUGAAUGACUUCUACCCUGGGGCCGUGAAGGUGACCUGGAAGGAAGAUGGCACAGCUAUCACCCGGGGCGUGGAGACCACUAAGCCCUCCAAACAGAGCAACAACAAGUACGCAGCCAGCAGCUACCUGACCCUGACACCAGACACAUGGAAGUCUCACAAGAGUUACAGCUGCCAGGUCACACAUGAGGGUAACACCAUCGAGAAGAAGGUGUCCCCAGCAGAAUGUGCUUAG